UAUCCUUAUUUCAUGAUGACUUUUGUAUCGCCCCUAUCUGAUCAACUGAUGAUUGGUUUGUUCUGAUUCUUUUAAAUCUAAUCAUAUACUACAGAUACAAAAUUCUGGAAUUACAACAUUAUAAUUUUUUUUUUACAGAAGACAAAUGAGUUUUGGCAGAUAACAGAAGAAAAAAAAAAGGCAAAUCUUAGGACUGAAUAUAAGAAAUACAUAAACUUGCUAGAGAAUAGAAUUAUUAAUACCAUCAAAAGAUAUAAUUACAUGACAAUUCAUAGUAAUAACACCCCACUUCCUCUGCCAUGUUCCAAGUAAAAUUAUUUGCACUGGAAAAUCAAAACUGCUCUUAUAUAUAUUAUUUAUGAGAUUUAUAGAGGACUUUAUUAUCAAGAUAAGAAUGAGAAUAGGUUACAAGAUUACAUUUGCACAUACCAAUAAAUAUCUAAUAAAUAUUGAUGAAUGAAAAAACCUUCUAUUUUAUGUAAGUAUUACAGGGAUUAAGUUAUGAAUAAAUAUUACAUGAUUAUAAAUUUAUAAUUGUAUUGGUUAACUGUACCUAAGUUCUUAUAUUAACCAAAUGUGAAAAUCUCUUUAAUUUUUUAUAUAUAUAGUAGAAUGAAUAAAUUUUGUAUCCUGUAUGAACAUGGUUUUAUACUGUUUCUGACUACACUCUUUUUUUAUAUAAAUAAUAAUUUUAAAUAUUUUUAUGAUGAAAUACUAAGUUAUCCCUGUCUCACUCAAUCAUGGGGAAAAUAUGGUAUGGUAACUUCUGAACAACUUAUAAUUGAAACAUAUAAAGCUUCUAAACCAGUGGAUAAUCUAACUAUGAAUAUAAUUUCUUUUAUCAGAUACUAUCACUAGUUGCAGAAUGUACUAAACAGACAAUCAAAAAGAUAAAAGUAUACUAAUCGAAUAGAAAUUUAUCUAUUCACUGCAGCCAAUUUGUAAUCAGAAAAAUCUUGCUGGUGAAAUAAAGAUUUACUAUUAUUAGAUUUACAUCUAAUGAAAAAGAAGAUGAAAUAAAAGUAUUACGAAUAAUUGUAUUUGAUAAGCAAGUGGCAUAUUUGUAUGAAGGUAUAAAAUAUAAAUUGUUAAUAAAAUAACAUUUUAUAAAAUAAAAAUAAAACAU